rnacentral:lncRNA from 1 species
GGGAAGGGAAAGGCGGGGCCCAUAGGACUGUUGAGGAAUCAGCUCUAACUGAUGAUUGCCAAUGCAGAUAAAGCACUGGCAGAGUUUUCCAGCUUCUCAACAGAAGCAGAAGUCCAAGUGAUGAGGACUAGGCAGCCCAAAGAAACUGCAUGAUCUGCGUAGACCAAGACUUGGUAUAGUUCAUGGGCUAUCCCAUAUCUACCCUGCCCACCCCCGUGCUCCUAAGUGACACGACUCUGAGUUUCGCAGCCCAAGUGAGACACAGCUGAGAAAUCUGGAGGGGGCAUGGCUAGAAGUUUCCAAAUAAUCAGAAGAAAAAAAUCAACAAAGAUAUUGUGAGCACAGACUCUGGGCAAUUUACUGUGAGGAAUACAAAUAAAUAUAAGGUUUAAGCUGCAAAGACGUAUUACAUAAGAACAAGGGAAGCUGCUUUAUGGCACGCUGGUGAAGGAUCCUGCUGAUUCCUCCUGAGCGGCUCUCGACUUCCUUUAUGGCAUCAAAGGCCCCAGAAACUGUUAGUGAAGAUGACGUGGAGGAGGGGAUAAUUUUUCUGUUUCCUGAGGUGCCGUUUCUCCUUGUAUGCUUGCUGUGUUGACACUUACGCUGAUGAUGCAAAAGCGACAGCGGGGGCCACUCGAGCCAGCGGCAGCAGACCCAACAGCUUGCUGGCAGGUCCCUUCCCGCCACAUGCUUGCAAUAAAGAAGGAGGAAAAAAUCAAUUUCAUUUAAGAAUGUCUUCGGUGAAGCAGUAAAAAUGAUUAAUUUUAUUAAAUCUCAACC